UGGCAAGAAAAUUAAGUGGUGAAGAGAC
rnacentral:piRNA from 1 species